CUUUAGGUUCAUCUACGAUGGAUGACUUCACGUUAUGGUGUAUGCGGUUGUGUCCAUAUUCGCCGGAAGGGUGAUACUCGCGGUGAUUGGUUUUGCUUUCUGAUGACCCUUCACAGUGGUCAGGGUUGAUUAAAUGUUUUUGUGUUGUUGAAUCGAUCUGUGCGAGCAGAGAGUUUUUAGGGAGUCGAGUUCGACUGAGAUAUCUGUGGAGUGAGAGAAGACUGAGGUUUGAGAGAUAUCAGGGAUUGGAGGUGGACUCAUAAGUUGAGGGAAUCGUGGGAUUGAGGUGGCUCAAAGUUCCUAUUUUCCAAGCUUUUCAAAUGUGAAUCAUGGACCUGUGAUUCAAAUCUUACUGAUGUUUUUAGGGAAUCCACCUACACUGCACAAAUUGUUUGACAGUUUUACUGGGUUUCUCAAAUUCCUUUUGUUUAUGGGUUUCUCAAAUUCCUUUUGUUUAUGGGUUUCUCAUCUGUAUCUAAAUUCAAUAUGGCUUUGUUAUAUUUUAAUAUCUACAGGGGAAUCUUUCACAUAUUGGAUUGGGUUUACAUUGUAAAUGCUCACAUAAUCUCUGGUAUUAGAAUCGUGGGUGGACUAAAAUUUAAGGUCUGUAUCGAUAGGACAGCAA